GAGAUCAAUUUUGACAGAGUAAAACACUACAAAUUACGCUGUCAGAUGACCUCAUCACCCGGGGCUGGCACGCUGGAUUGCAGCAUUGCUGGAAGGAAAAGCAUCAGCGCUGCAGGAAUCUCUGCUCCACGGAAAACUGUUAUUUUUGGAUUCUUCGGGAAGGCGUGCACGUAAACCCGGCGGCUCCCUGGUACCAUCACCAAGUUUCUGCUCCUGUCAGCGCUCCAUCCUCUCCUUCUCAUCCCACAUUACUCCAGGACAGCCUGAUGGGCCAUGGGAAGCUGUUUCCAGACAGCAGGCAGGAGCCAAUCGGAGUGGGACAGCACUGGAUGGACCAUCAGUCCCUUGGCCAGAGCAGUUUGGAACCCAGUGGCAGAGGCAGCAGGUCCCUGACAGGUUUGACGUGAUUUUUUUUUUUACAUUUUUAACCACACUUUUCCUCAAACCCCUCCCAAAAAUGGCAGGGAAAAGGAGCUUUGCCCCUGGUCCUAAAAGGUCAGAAGUUGCAGAAGUGACCCCAAAGUCACAGGACCUAUUUCAUACUGCAGUUGUGCUGGUGCAAACCUCGGUGGCACACAGAGUACUGAUUCUAAAUGGGGUAUUUGGGGAUCCCUAAUAUUACACUGAUUAGGUUUUCUAUUAAAAAAAAAAAAAAGUACUGUUUUUAUCCAUAUUUAAAUAAGGUUCUUAGGUGUAUUAGGGCAGGUUUGGGGAAACGUGACAGAAAUUUAGGCAGAAGCCCUCAGGUAUGGAAAAUGCCACACAAAGACUCCAAGAGAAAACCCCCGACCAUUCAGGUUGUCCAGGGCUUGUUGGUUGAAAUGAUUUUAUUGGUUUGGUUUUGGGGUGUUUUUUUCCUUUAACUGAUGGAGAAUUAAUUGCCCAGGUUUAUUUUUGCUCACGAGCAAAGUUCUCAGGCUGGGUGGGAAUCACUGUUC